GCACCCGCGGUAAUUCCAGCACCAAUAGCGUAUAUUAAUGCUGCUGCUGUUAAAAAGCUCGUAGUUGGAUCAAGAGUUCGACAGUGCAAGGUGGCCUCACCUGUGUCGGUCGGCCCUGCUGAUCGUCACGGUGGCGGAUCAACCCCUUGCGCCAAACUGUCGUCUCUAACUGACCGAAACGGUUCCCUGUGAGUAGGCCACUUUAUUGCGGCUGAAAGCGUCGACGCAUCCACCAUAUGCAUACGGGACGUCGGUCACUGUUACUGUGAACAAACCAGCGUGUCCAAAACAGUCUUUCGACUGAAUCGUUCUAGCAUGGAAUAACAAGGGAUCGAUUCUCUCGGUUCUUUUUGUGGGUUUUUAACCCGAGAAGGAGUAAUUCAGGCCACGGUGUCUGAGUUGUGUUUCCCGAGGCUUCGGCUGAGGCCCCAAUUAGGACGUGGCCCUGCGGGAUCAAUAGGGACUGCCGGGGUCGUACGUACUCCCACGUCAGAGGUGAAAUUCUUAGAUCGUGGGAAGACGAACUUCUGCGAAAGCAUUCGACAAGAAUGUCUUCAUUAAUCAAGAACGAGAGUGUGGGGAUCGAAGAUGAUCAGAUACCGUCGUAGUCCACUACUGUAAACGAUGCCGUCUCAGGAUCGAGAGGGCUCCUUCAUGACCCUCACGGCACUAACCCCUGAAACGAGAAAUCAAAGAUUAUGGGUUCAGGGGGGAGUACAUUCGCAAGGCUGAAACUUAAAGGAAUUGACGGAAUGACACCACCAGGCGUGGAGUAUGCGGCUUAAUUUGACCCAACACGGGGAAUUUUACUAGGUCAGGACAAUGCCAGGAUUGACAGAUUGAGAGCUCUUUCUCGAUCCAUUGUGUGGUGGUGCAUGGCCGCUCCUGGUUGGUGGAGUGAUUUGUCUGGUUGAUUCCGUUAACGAACGAGAUCUCGACCCUUAAAUAGGUAUGCUCGUCGACGUCGGUUUGCCUUGCAUUCGCUUGCGAGAUUGGAGCAUUCCUAGACAGGGCAACAACUUCUUAAGGGGACUGCGUGCGCCGUUAGCACGCGGAAGAGCGAGCCAAUAGCAGGUCUGUGAUGCUCCUAAAUGUCCUAGGCUGCACGCGCACUACACUGACGCAUUAAACGAGUCUGUUUGCCUUACGGCAACCUAUCUUGAAGAGGACGGGAAAUCUUUUGAACUUGCAUCGUGAUGAG
rnacentral:rRNA from 1 species